rnacentral:lncRNA from 1 species
AAGUCUUUUGCUUUUGCUUUUCUUAUUAAGGAUUUGACUUUUGUUCUUUUUGUUUUAAUGAUUUCUAGUAAUUGAAGAAAUAUAUUUACUUUGCAAAACUAGUUGAAAUCAUUCAGUAAUUCAACUAUAGAAAUAUGCAAUGAUUCAACUACAGAUAGCUAACUCGUGUGUCUGGUUCAUACGCCACAUAAUACUGGUUGGUUAUUUCCCUCUUAAUUUAUAUUCCACUCUCUUAUAGAGUUAAGGGUU